UGCCAGCCGCCGCGGUAAUACGUAGGGUGCAAGCGUUGUUCGGAAUCACUGGGCGUAAAGGGCGUGUAGGCGGUUCAGUCAGCUAGGGGUGAAAGCCCGGAGCUCAACUCCGGAAUAGCUCUUAGAACUGCUGAACUAGAGAGGGUCAGAGGUUAGCGGAAUUCCUGGUGUAGAGGUGAAAUUCGUAGAUAUCAGGAGGAACACCGGCGGCGAAAGCGGCUGACUGGGGCCCAUCUGACGCUGAGGCGCGAAAGCGUGGGGAGCAAACAGGAUUAGAUA
rnacentral:rRNA from 1 species